UACGUAGGGUGCGAGCGUUGUCCGGAAUUAUUGGGCGUAAAGAGCUUGUAGGCGGUCUGUCGCGUCUGCUGUGAAAAUCCGGGGCUCAACCCCGGACUUGCAGUGGGUACGGGCAGACUAGAGUGUGGUAGGGGAGACUGGAAUUCCUGGUGUAGCGGUGAAAUGCGCAGAUAUCGGGAGGAACACCAGUAGCGAAGGCGGCACUCUGGGCCGGUACUGACGCUGAGGAGCGAAAGCGUGGGGAGCGAACAGG
rnacentral:rRNA from 1 species